AUUGAACGCUGGCGGCAGGCCUAACACAUGCAAGUCGAGCGGAUGAAGGGAGCUUGCUCCUGGAUUCAGCGGCGGACGGGUGAGUAAUGCCUAGGAAUCUGCCUGGUAGUGGGGGAUAACGUCCGGAAACGGGCGCUAAUACCGCAUACGUCCUGAGGGAGAAAGUGGGGGAUCUUCGGACCUCACGCUAUCAGAUGAGCCUAGGUCGGAUUAGCUAGUUGGUGGGGUAAAGGCCUACCAAGGCGACGAUCCGUAACUGGUCUGAGAGGAUGAUCAGUCACACUGGAACUGAGGAACGGUCCAGACUCCUACGGGAGGCAGCAGUGGGGAAUAUUGGACAAUGGGCGAAAGCCUGAUCCAGCCAUGCCGCGUGUGUGAAGAAGGUCUUCGGAUUGUAAAGCACUUUAGGUUGGGAGGAAGGGCAGUAAGUUAAUACCUUGCUGUUUUGACGUUACCAACAGAAUAAGCACCGGCUAACUUCGUG
rnacentral:rRNA from 1 species